rnacentral:misc_RNA from 1 species
CAGAGUUGCAAAACUCCCAACCAUUGUGAACGAACCCGCUACGGUUGCUUCGGCGGGUGGUUCUCUGUAACCGCCCGCCGGCAGCAUACAAACUCUUGAUUAUAGUGGACCUCUGAGUAACUUAUAUAAUAAGUCA